CGCAAAGGCCGUUGGCCUGCGCAGCGAGCCGUGCCGCGCACUCGCCCCAUUCCUCUGGGAUUGAUGGGAUCAUGUCGGCAUGACGAUGUGCCCAUAUAGGAUGGCGCCGGCGACAACGAGAAAGGCGAUAAAAACGACGCCAAUGGCCGACGCGCGUCGCGCAUUGUGCGGCAACAACACAGGACGCACACGGGCGAUUUUUUCAGCGCACAACGUUGACACCGUGUCGAGGCACCGCCGAGGCACCUGUGCGGCGAUGGAUAGCACUAUUUCCGCCGCCAUGAUCGCCAGCGUCCUCUUUGCGCCCAUCUCCACGAUAAGCAGCCCCAUUUCGGUACACCGAUCGAGGGUAUAGUUCUCUUGAAAGUUGUUGACCACGCGCUCGAUGACGGUGCGCUGGCUGCUACGCGCUGCAACCCACGCGAGCGACCCCGCUGCUUGGCGCGAAACCAGGUAAUCCAAGAGGUGGCGCCUAUAGUGCGCCGACAUGACGCGCGUCGGGGCGCUGCACCCGUUGGCAGUCAUCCAAUCGAUCAGAUCCGGGCGGUCCAAGCAAAGGCAGGUGAACGCCACAGACGGCGAACACGAGCACGGGCGUCGAGGCACAUGGUCGUGCAGCGCGGCCAGCAGCUUGUCGGCGUCGCGGCCCGUGGCAACGGCGCUCGUACACAGCGCACUCAUGAGCGCUUGAUUAAAGAGCGGACGGGGCGAGGCGAAGCGCGACGCCGCAUAAAAGUCGAGCAGCCACACGAGGCUGCGCAUGCGGCCGCCCGACGAUGCCUCUGUGAGCAGUGUGCGCGCCUCGCCGUAAAGGCGCCGCCAGCGCGCGCGACCUACGGUCGCCCAUGAUUCGGCGGUGAUGUCGUCUGCAUGGUCGACACUGGCCAGGGAGUGGAUGUGUGCGAGAACCUCGGGGCGAUCGCCGUGCGCCGCUGCAAUGAGCCACGGAAACGGAACCGGCAGAGGCGAUGCAUUGCGCGUGUCGGCCUCACAAUUGCGAGACAACAUGGCGCGCACGACACACAUUGGCGCGCCGGCCGCCAGGAAGGUCGUGGGCGUUGCCAAAGCGCGUCUAGAUAUGGCGUACGUCGUGUCGGCGCCCAACGCCACUUGGCAAGACACGAGGUCCUUGGCGCGAGGGAGGUGGUCUUGUACGAGGUCGAUGAUCUCUGCGGGCAUGUCUGCCAAGGAGGGCGAGUCGACGGUACCCAUACGGGCCGCGUUGUACCGAGACACAAUGCAGUUCUUUUGUCUGUUUCUUUUUUUUUUCUUAAUAUGCCUUUGCCUGUCG
rnacentral:lncRNA from 1 species